rnacentral:rRNA from 1 species
UACGUAGGGCGCGAGCGUUGUCCGGAAUUAUUGGGCGUAAAGGGCUCGUAGGCGGUUCGUCACGUCGGGAGUGAAAACUCGGGGCUUAACCCCGAGCCUGCUUCCGAUACGGGCAGACUAGAGGUAGGCAGGGGAGAGCGGAACUCCUGGUGUAGCGGUGGAAUGCGCAGAUAUCAGGAAGAACACCGGUGGCGAAGGCGGCUCUCUGGGCCUUACCUGACGCUGAGGAGCGAAAGCGUGGGUAGCGAACAGG